AGAACGAACGCUGGCGGCAUGCCUAAUACAUGCAAGUCGAACGAACUCUUCGGAGUUAGUGGCGCACGGGUGCGUAACGCGUGGGAAUCUGCCCCCUUGGUUCGGAAUAACAGUUGGAAACGACUGCUAAUACCGGAUGAUGACGAAAGUCCAAAGAUUUAUCGCCCAAGGAUGAGCCCGCGUAGGAUUAGCUUGUUGGUGAGGUAAGAGCUCACCAAGGCGACGAUCCUUAGCUGGUCUGAGAGGAUGAUCAGCCACACGUGGGACUGAGACACGGCCCAGACCUCCGUACGGGAG
rnacentral:rRNA from 1 species